rnacentral:rRNA from 1 species
AUUGGAGGGCAAGUCUGGUGCCAGCAGCCGCGGUAAUUCCAGCUCCAAUAGCGUAUAUUAAAAUUGUUGCAGUUAAAAAGCUCGUAGUUGAAUUUCUGCUGCAUCGCGUCUUCUUUUUGAUGAGUUGGUGUAUUGCGGCUUUUUUCGGAUGAUUUUUUUGUCCGGAUGAUUACUUUGAGAAAAUUAGAGUGCUCAAAGCAGGCUUUUGCCUUGAAUAGUUUAGCAUGGAAUAAUAAAGUAGGACUUUGGUUCUAUUUUGUUGGUUUUAGGUACCAAAGUAAUGGUUAAUAGGAACAGUUGGGGGCAUUCGUAUUUAACUGUCAGAGGUGAAAUUCUUAGAUUUGUUAAAGACGAACUACUGCGAAAGCAUUUGCCAAGGAUGUUUUCAUUAAUCAAGAACGAAAGUUAGGGGAUCGAAGACGAUCAGAUACCGUCGUAGUCCUAACCAUAAACUAUGCCGACUAGAGAUUGGAGGUCGUCAGUUUAUACGACUCCUUCAGCACCUUGAGAGAAAUCAAAGUCUUUGGGUUCUGGGGG